GCGGAGGAAAAGAAACCAACAGGGAUUGCCCUAGUAACGGCGAGUGAAGCGGCAACAGCUCAAAUUUGAAAUCUGGCUUUCGGGCCCGAGUUGUAAUUUGUAGAGGAUACUUUUGAUGCGGUGCCUUCCGAGUUCCCUGGAACGGGACGCCAUAGAGGGUGAGAGCCCCGUCUGGUUGGAUGCCAAAUCUCUGUAAAGUUCCUUCGACGAGUCGAGUAGUUUGGGAAUGCUGCUCUAAAUGGGAGGUAUAUGUCUUCUAAAGCUAAAUAUUGGCCAGAGACCGAUAGCGCACAAGUAGAGUGAUCGAAAGAUGAAAAGCACUUUGAAAAGAGAGUUAAAAAGUACGUGAAAUUGUUGAAAGGGAAGCGUUUAUGACCAGACUUGGACUUGGUUAAUCAUCUGGGGUUCUCCCCAGUGCACUUUUCCAGUUCAGGCCAGCAUCAGUUUUCGCCGGGGGAUAAAGGCAGUGGGAAUGUAGCUCUCUUCGGGGAGUGUUAUAGCCCCAUUGUGUAAUACCCUGGUGGAGACUGAGGUU
rnacentral:rRNA from 1 species